UACAGAGGGUGCAAGCGUUGUUCGGAAUUAUUGGGCGUAAAGGGCGCGUAGGCGGUGCGGUAAGUCACCUGUGAAACCUCUGGGCUUAACUCAGAGCCUGCAGGCGAAACUGCCGUGCUUGAGUGUGGGAGAGGUGCGUGGAAUUCCCCGGUGUAGCGGUGAAAUGCGUAGAUAUCGGGAGGAACACCUGUGGCGAAAGCGGCGCACUGGACCACAACUGACGCUGAGGCGCGAAAGCUAGGGGAGCAAACAGG
rnacentral:rRNA from 1 species